UACGUAGGGUGCAAGCGUUAAUCGGAAUUACUGGGCGUAAAGCGUGCGCAGGCGGUUAUGUAAGACAGGUGUGAAAUCCCAGGGCUUAACCUUGGAACUGCAUUUGUGACUGCAUAGCUAGAGUACGGUAGAGGGGGGAUGGAAUUCCGCGUGUAGCAGUGAAAUGCGUAGAUAUGCGGAGGAACACCGAUGGCGAAGGCAAUCCCCUGGACCUGUACUGACGCUCAUGCACGAAAAGCGUGGGGAGCAAACAGG
rnacentral:rRNA from 1 species